UCUCGUACAAUCACCGGAGUUAAGCAUCGUCGAGUCUGGUCAGUACUUAGAUGGGUGACCGCUUGGGAAUACCAGGAGCUGUAA